rnacentral:lncRNA from 1 species
UGGGUUGGGCUCGGCCCAGCCGACCCAACUCUCCUUUUAACCCAAAAUUCCAAAAUAAAAACACCCCGAAAAAUAAUACCCGAAUAAAAAUUACCUUUUACUAGCUAAAAUUUACCAUUUUUACCGUAGUCGUAUUUUCCUCAUACGAAUAAUCCUCCGCACAUAAUCGUCCCCGAAACCCCUCUAGGGACCAAUUAAACUAUUUACUCAUGAUCAAGACGGUAAAAUUCUUAUUAUCAUCACGCUAGUAAAUAAGGUAAAAAUAUAAGGGUCGGGAUGUGACAUUCUGAGUGUCAUUGAGAAGUGCGGUCCUCUUGUCCAAGUUCGAGCCUUCAGUAGCAGAGUAGCGAACACAUCUACCAACAGCCACAAAUGUCGUUGUACGAUUAAGCUGCCGAAAUUGGGAUUGGUCAGCCACAUGACUUUUGCCUUUCUCCUCCACCCAAUCACAUUUACAGAAUGCUAGAUUCGGCUUCGCCAUUCCACGUCCAUGACAGAAACCUAUUGUGUUGCGUUAAUCCAUACCACCACCACCUUCAUCUCUAUAGAGUUGAAAGACCACGAAGCUUUGACCGUGCUUGUUGGGGUCGAGUUUUACCUUAAAAAUUCGUACUAGUGAUUUGAACAUACAAAGCCAUGAUGUGGGAGGGAAGAACUGAGAUUCCUUCAUAUAUAAGGGUUGUGGGUGACGAUUGAUUGACCACAAAAGGUUUAGAUUUGCCUGGGCUGGAUGCUUAAAGGGUACGGCUUAGAGUCAGCGUCGUCUUGUGCCAUUGGAGACCCAAGCCGAUACGGUGAGGGUUUAGCAAAAAACAAGGGAGGCGGCUAAGAGCCAUUGGGUUCCUCCAGACCAUUGAAAUCGCUAAUGAAAUCUAUGAGUUUUAAACUCGCACCCUCAAGGCAUAUUUGUUUAAUGAAAUUGUGAAAGUCCCGCUUAAUUUCUAUAAUUGGUCUCGCCUACUCAAGCUUUGCUUUUGCAAAUGUUAUCCUAACUCAUGUUUGGUGUAAACUAGACUUCAUCAACAUCUAACAUCGUUCUCAUUUUAAAGCUCACAUAUCCAAUUUCUCUUCGAGUCAAGCUAAGGUGUUUGUGUUCUUCGUCAAGGCAUAUGGUUUUCCAGUCAAGCGAAGGUGUACACAAUUAUCACACACAAGGUUCAACUUACAAUCGUUCACGCAAAUAUAAAAAAAUUACACAAUUCCAAUCAAUAUCCAUCUAAGAAAACAAUAAAUCAUCUAGUACCCAAUUCUCAAAACCCUGUAACUAGGUGUGCGCAAUAAUCUGAUUCAAAACAUCAAGUUUGAUUUAUUCUUCGCUUUCAAUUUCCAGAAGAUCCAAGGAACUUCGUAAGACUAGAUGGAGAAUAUGCAUGUAGUUUUGAGUUGAAAUCUGGUGAGGAAAUUUGGCCGAUCUGAACUAAAAUGGAGUGGCGAUCUAAAAUAAAUUUACAGAUAGAGAGGAAAAUUGAUGAUUAAAUAACGAGAACCCAACUACAGACAAAUUGAAGAGAAAGAUUGAUGAUGCUGAAGUGAGGAGAAAAAAAACUACAAGAGUUUCAAUGUCUACAAAACCGUCUUCCACAAAUCCAUAAAUUUUGUGGUCAUGCAUGUAGAAGGUGUUCACUAUUUAUUUGAGACUAUAGAAGCUCAUUAAACACAAUUAUGUUGUAGUCAAACACGAGCUUUGUAUUGUUACAGUAUACAGUCAUGCACAAUCAUGUGCAGUCCCACGUAAUAAACACACCCUCAGAGCAAAUGCAACAGUGGUGUAAUUGGGUGGGUUGGAUGGAAUGUUAGGUUAAAAUAUGCAUCCAUCAGGACAAAAUUAGGUUAGGUUAGACGUGGGUCAUAUGUGGAGCCCACCUAACUCGAUCAAAGGCUAGGGUAAGAAUUAACCCAUCUAUUAGUCUAGACCAAUUUCAACGUGGGGCCCAAACAAAUAUUAUUUUGCACAUGGCUUCAGCUGCAUUCUUUUUGUUUAAUUGAAAAAAUUGCUUGUUUAGCCCACUUUUUGUUUAAUUAGUCUUAGAAUUGAUCUCAUUGUUGUAUUAUUGUAUGGAGGAUUAAAGACUAAUUUGGAUGAAUAGUGUAUUAACCCGGGUUGAAAAUUAGUCCAACCCACCCAAAAUGGGUGCAUUUGCUCUCAAGGUUUGAAUGCAUAUCUUCUACCAACUUUUUUUGUUGUCGUAUAUCGUCUACCAACUUAGCUCAGCAACAUCUUACAUAUAUAGUUACAUUCUUUUAUCCACCUAUCUCAAAAGUGUCCACCAUAAUUAAAAGCUCAAUGGUUCCACAUGUUCUAUGUCACACCCCGGUUCUUAAGUUAUUUUACGGUUAUUUACUUUGGUAUUAUUUUAGUCUUUUACCGUGUUGAAUAACCGUUUACUACCUAAGGACCCUAAAGUUGACUUUCUUUUCCGUUUAGAAUUUGGAGAAACUUUCUUCAUGAAAGUUGUAGAGGACGUUAAUAUGAGUUCGUAGACAUGCUAUGUGUUAAAAUCGGAGUUAGCAUAAAAAAGUUAUUAUCUAAAAGAGUAAAUUUUGAGGUGGUAAAAAGAGGUAUUUUUUUUAGUGGGUAAAAUUUGUUGGGUUUAAGGGUUAUGGACCGGGUGUGAGCAGCCCAUAUCCUCCUUCACUCUCUCUUUCUCCCUUCCCUCUUUUCCCCGAGCUCCCCGAGCCCCUCUCCGCCGGAAGCUCCCAGCCACCAGCUGCCGCCGUCCGGCCAGCGUCCGGCCGCUACUCCAGCCCAGUUCGGACCCUCAUCUCCUCCUCUCCCUCCCCGGCCUAGCCCCCGAGCCUCUAACCCGCCGGAAGAGGAGAAAACCCGCCGGAGACGCCAGGAAGCAUUUCACCGGAAAUCCCAUUUCCGGCCACCAAAACUCGUAAUUCUUAGCUCAUUUUGUAGCUCUCAUCAAGGUGAGUAUCCCCUCAAAAGGAAUAAGUCUAUCUCGUUGUGGUUAUGGAGAAAUGUAUAAUUGAAGUUCUAGAGAUUUUUGGAUGUUUUUAGUCGAUUACCCUAGUUAGCCUUAGAAUUGGACUAAGUACUAGUUAGGAAAGUUGUUGUGCUUGAUAAGAGGAUUAUUUUGUUAAAAUUUGGUAGAAAUUGGAGGUCGCCGGAANNNNN